AAAGACACCCCCGUGAUGGCUAACUCGUUAGCUUUUAGCAGCAAAAAUCGGUUUCCCGGUUUCAAAGAGGUGCGACUCGUCCCGGGGAAACACGACAUCUCCUUCGUGGAGUUUGAGAGCGAGACGCAGGCGGGCGUGGCUAAAGACGCACUGCAAGGCUGCCGAAUCACAGCCACCUGCGCCAUGAAGAUCACGUACGCCAAGAAGUAGUCCCCGAGUUCAGUCGCUGGACACACAGAGACUCUGAGGGGGAGAAAGGGGGAGAUGGUCCCUGGAUUACCGUCGGGUUCCCACAUUGAUUUUUGUAAAUCAUACACAGCUGUUUGUUUUUUUUUCUUUCUACUUUUUGUGAUUUGUUUGGUAAAAUUCAGUCCCGUCGUUCACGAGGUCGAGCAGAUAAUCUCUGGCCUACAUCUUGUUUUGUAAAAUAAAAGGCUUUUACAUAA